rnacentral:misc_RNA from 1 species
GACACAACUGAAGAGGUGGAGGACAAAACUCCUCCUGGAGGCCCAAUCAGUGCUGUUCGAGCAGAACCCAAUCAGUCAAAAAAAGAGAAGGUCUCUAUUGUCGAGAAUGUUUACUGGAAAGAACUUGGACUUCUUGUUGCUGUGUGGCUGAUAAUUCUUAGUUUGCAGAUUGGCAAGAAUUACUCGACAACCUGUUCGGUAAAAUAUUGGGUGUUAAAUAUAUUGCAGAUCCCUGUAGCUGUUGGGGUAACUGCAUACGAGGCAGUUAGCCUGUACAAAGGGCGGAGAAAGAUUGCAUCCAUGGGAGAGGCGAGCACAAACUGGCGAGUUCACCAACUUGUUCUCUAUUGUGCCAUUGGUGUGUUGGCUGGAAUAGUUGGUGGGAUGCUUGGACUUGGUGGAGGAUUCAUUUUGGGUCCUCUCUUUCUGGGGAUGGGAAUCCCCCCUCAGGUGCA